rnacentral:tRNA from 1 species
CGGGGUGUAGCGCAGUUGGUUAGCGUACCGCGUUUGGGACGCGGGGGUCGGCGGUUCGAGUCCGCCCACCCCGACAA